rnacentral:sRNA from 1 species
UAUCCCCCUGCCAGGUAGAAGAGGAAAGAAAGAGGCAGGAGCUUGGAGACGAGCCCAGUCUCUAUACCUAGAAUGAAGGGAAGCCCAGCUGAAGACCACUUCCAAGGAGAUGGAGACCCAGACAUAAGACUGACCUCAGAAGUUCUGAGUGCUACAAACCAGGUCCAGGUGCUGGGGUCACAUGCCUGCACCACCAGAUCUGUCACCCUCCGUUGCUGGGCACUCAAAUUGAUCUCUGAAAGGUGUGGCUGCCCAGAUGUCAAAGUCCUAAUGGGUGGACAGCUCCUCCUUGUAUGGAUGUUGAGCCUCAACUAAGAAGACAAAGGUCACAGAGCACAUGACUUUGGUCUUGCAGAUUAGACACCAGUUACUUGAGCUGGGCACCACAUGAUCCCAGAAGACUAAUUCACCCAUGGCUUUAAAGUCAUGCAGAUUUCCUGGGUGCUUGUGGCCAGCCCUCUUCCUCAUCAGGUAGAAUCACUGUCCAUCACGAAAGAUAAUUGAAAACAUCCACAGGACACAGAUCUAAGGGAUCUAUACCAGGAUUCCAUGGUGUUCCCAGAACUUGUUCCUGGUCUGAAAAGAGUCACCCCAAAAAGGCAGUGGACAGCUUCAGCGUGGCAGCGGGUACAGACAUCUAUUCUUCCAGCUGUGUCUUCAGCCAGGAGAAGAGCAUUGGCAGCACCUCUACACUGUACAGCAUCAGAAGUCAUCCUGGGGCCAGCGCUGGAAGCUGCUCAGUGCUCAGGGACCCUGUGCCUGAUGCCUUACAGAUAACACUUGGCACAGGCACCUCCAGACUCAGGUUCUUUUGCUUU